ensembl:lncRNA
GUUCACUUAUUUUUGUCACACAUAUUGCAGAGCUUACUGCUGUCUGACCUUCUUACAAGAAUAAAAAAAAUCAGAAGAAUCUGUCUCUGAGCGAGGCAUUUAAAAUUUAUCACGAUAAUUUCUGGUAUUUAUUGCGAUAACUAUAUCAAUGAUGAUAAUUCAGGGAAUCUUAUGCAUCCACUAAGAGACAAAAAAAAAAAAUUCUGUUUCUUUAUAGCAGGGUUCCUCAAUUAGUAUUCGCCAAGGGCUGAAUUCUGCCAACAAUACCAAGCCAAGGGCCACUGAUCUAAUAUAUAUAUAAAUUAGUAUUAUUACAAAUAUUAUAUUAUAGUUGCUUUUGUUAAAAUAAUGAAAAUAUGGUCACAAGAUAAAUAUUCAAGAAAAAUUUCCCAUUAGUUUAUUCAAAUUAUUAUGAACAUUUUUGCAUUUAGAUACAGAAGAGCUUUGCCUGUUGAAUAUUAAAAACAAAAAAUCUGGAUCUCCAUGUCUUCCAUGCAAAUCAACUGUUCCUGCUCAUCUCCAGAGUGGAUCUCUUCUCUUCACUUUCCCUAAUUGCAGAUUCGCACUGGAUGCGACUAAGCAUUGCAAAUCAUUUGAACUUUGUGUCAGCACGUCAUAAAUAGAACGAUUCAGCAGUUUUCUGUCUGGGAUUUGUCGCACCGCAUCCAGUGUAGACGGCUUCACUGAUUAUAAUAAGUUCUAUUGUAUUUUGUUGCGCUGCUCGCGUCCAGUGUAGACAGCCCGAUCUCACGGCAAUUCGUACAUAUUUUACGAGGUGGCUACUUCGUACGAAUUCAUACGACCACACUCAAAAAUUUGGCAAAAAUCGUACAUAUUUUAUGAGUUGCACAAUUCAUAUGAAUUUGUACGAAAGACCUACACCUAACCCCGCCCCUAAACCUACCCGUCACUGGGGUCUAGACAAAUCGUAUAAAAUCGUACGAGUGAGGUCGUGAGAUAGCAUUGGUGUAGACACAAUAUAAGUUAAUGUCGCUUUCUGAUGCUGCAUUUGAAUUUUAAUGCCACAUUAUUUUAAAUUAGUGCGGGCCAAACAUUUUUCUCUCGCGGCUGCCUAUUGAGGAAUCCUGCUUUAUAGAAAAGUAUUAUCUUUCCUAUUUUUUUUAUCCUACCCAAAGGUGUACCCAGGGUGUUGGGAGCAUUACUGAGUACACAUGUAAUUAGAGGUCGACAGAUGUAUUGGUUUUGCCAAUUUUAUAUAUAUAUAUGUAUAGGCUAUAUACACAUUUUUGAGGGUAAUUUUAUAACUACCUUAUUAAAUGUAUCUUUGUUGUUUUUUGUUUCAGAUUUAACCAGUUACUUCAGUUGAUCACAAUACUAUAGUCUGUUACCAAUCAAAUUUUUUUCAACAUCAACAAAAGCCAUUUUUACACUGCAAAGUAAAGUAGCUGCAUCUAACAUGGCAUUUAUGUUUAUUUACACUGACUGUUUAGGUCUGCUCAUGUACACGUAUUUACACAGAAAUUGCGUAAUGUAUAAUGUACAAAAAUGCACUGACCAAUAAAAAAUAAUAUUUUGUAUUCAUCUGUCAUAAGCAGCCAAAACAUGUGACAGAGCAAAGAAACUCAAAAAUGUGGAAGGUGUGCAGAAGCAGCAAAGCUGAAAUGCUGUAAUUGUGGAGGUGAACAUAGUUCAGCAUACUGAGGAUGUUUAGUCAGUAAGAAAGCAGAAGUUCACAAAGUGACAACAUCUCAAGGGAUCUCAUACGCAGAAGCAGUGAAAAGAGUAUGGGUUCAGUCAAAAAGACCAAAAGAGAAGGAAACACAAGGUAUCACAAAGAGUGCAUGUGAUGCUUGUGCCAAGAUAAAGGAAGAUAGCAGGCAAAAAAGAUUUUAUCUUGUUUAUUGUAGAUAUGAUCAACUGUACAGCGCAAACUGAGAAGAAAACUGAGAAAAUCAAGAUAAUAGUGAGAUCAGCAGAAAAAUAUCUUGGAAUUAAAGGUCUGGGAAGUAUGUUGGGAGGAGGAACUUCUAGUUCUCAAAUAUGGGAUGCAGUAGAUUAAUUAACCCUCUGGGCCUCUUCGGCCAUUUUUGACCAAAAAAAAAAAUAAUAUAUAUAUAUAUUUUGAAAUUUUUAAAUUCAUGGCUUCAUCGGAAUGAGAUGACACUUGGUGAUGUUUGUCACAUUAGCUAUGUGAACACACACACAAAAAUCAUGGAAAUGAUUCGGAUAUGUCAAAAAAAAACAAAAAAAAAAACUUGGCUCCUUUGUGGUCAAAAAUGACAAAUAUAGGAAAUGAAUGGGAAAUGCGAAAAAAUAAUGGCUGUAUGAAAUGGCUGUAUUUUUAUCUUGCAUACACAUCUAGUUAUUUUUUUAUGUAUUUAGCUAAUGAAGAUACACUGAAUAAAGCUAUAUUAUUAA